rnacentral:lncRNA from 1 species
AUUGCUAUUUCCACCAAUAUAUUGACCCUCAUAAUCUCCAACUAUAAUACUGCACCCUCACAGCUUUCAGCACACAAUUACCCUCAUUCCAAUCACUAGAAUUCUUCACACAAAACUGCCAUUCACAUUACGGUGUUUCACACAAACAUAGACUCAUUCUCUCUGCUGAACUACAAUCAGAUUUCAGCAUUCAAUCUUUCUUCUUCUCAAAUAAUACCAAUCACAUUUCCAUUCCAUAAUUCACUUCACAAUAUUCAGAAACUCUCAAUCUUCUUAUUCAAAGAAAAUAACAAACAAAAGAAAAGAGGUAGCACCAAGCUUACCCCGGCUCACACUAUCACAGCGAUGGCCCUCGGCUCACGACUCUCAUAGUCUGGCACCUUAAUUAACUUCUACAACUCCUAUAUACUUUUCCUUGAUUCUCUAGAUUUCAAUCGUAAUUUUAUAAUUAACUACUUUUAAUAACUAAAUCACUCAUCCAUCUUCCUGAAUUUUCUAUUAUAUGGACUAUUAAUAUAUUUUACCAAUAUCUUUCAAAAACAAAUUAAUAUCUAUUCUACAUAGCCCCACUCCUAUCUGU